CAAUAGCGUAUAUUAAAGUUGUUGCAGUUAAAAAGCUCGUAGUUGGAUCUCGGGUCCAGGCCUGUGGUGCCUUUAACCAGGACACUGCUUGCCCUGACCUACCUGCCGGUUUUCCCUUGGUGCUCUUGACUGAGUGUCUCGGGUAGCCGGAACGUUUACUUUGAAAAAAUUAGAGUGUUUAAAGCAGGCAUUUGCUGGAAUACAUUAGCAUGGAAUAAUAACAUAGGACUUCGGUUCCUAUUUUGUUGGUUUCUAGGUCUGAAGUAAUGAUUGAUAGGGACAGUUGGGGGUGCUAGUAUUCAGAGGCCAGAGGUGAAAUUCAUGGAUUCUCUGAAGACUAACUUAUGCGAAAGCAUUCACCAAGGAUGUCUUCUUUAAUCAAGAACGAAAGUUUAGGGAGUGAAGACGAUUAGAUACCGU
rnacentral:rRNA from 1 species